rnacentral:lncRNA from 1 species
UUCUAUUUACUUGACCGAUUUUCCAAAGGUUCUUAUUUACUUAGACUUUAGUUUAAGGUCUUAGGUUUCAAUUAACAUAACCCGGUUAGAGGUUUCUAUUUACUUGAUCGAUUUUCCCUUGUAGAGGUUUUGGGUUAAACACCCUCAGUGAAGGUUUUCGUCAUUCUCGACCCCUACUCUUAUUUGAAGAGUAAGUUUUUUCCGGACUUCGUACCUCAGAUUAUUGUCCUGGCGAG